rnacentral:rRNA from 1 species
AGUGAACGCUGGCGGUAGGCCUAACACAUGCAAGUCGAACGGCAGCACAGUACGUGCUUGUUCUUACGGGUGGCGACUGGUGGACGGGUGCGGAAUACAUCGGAAUCUACUUUUUCGUAGGGGAUAAAGCAGGGACUAUUACGCCAAACCCGCUUACGACCUACGGGUGAAAGCAGGGGACCUCCGGACAUUACGCGAUCGUAUGAGCCGAGGUCGGAUUAGCUAGUUGGCGGGGUAAAGGCCCACCAAGGCGACGAUCCGUAGCUGGUCUGAGAGGAUGAUCAGUCACACUGGAACUGAGACACGGUCCAGACUCCUACGGGAGGCAGCAGUGGGGAAUAUUGGACAAUGGGCGCAAGCCUGAUCCAGCCAUGCCGCGUGGGUGAAGAAGGCCUUCGGGUUGUAAAGCCCUUUUGUUGGGGAGGAAGAGCAGCAGGUUAAUACCCCGCUGUUCUGACGGUACCCAAAGAAUAAGCACCGGCUAACUUCGUG